CAAUAGCGUAUAUUAAAAUUGUUGACGGUUAAAACGCUCGUAGUUGGAUAUCUGCCUAGGGGCCCCGGUCCUUCCCAGCGAAGAAUACGCGGGGUUCUCCUUGGCGCUUGUUCAGGAAACGUGUUUGCACUUCAUUGUGUGUCGCGUAACUUGAAUCUUUACUUUGAGGAAAUGAGAGUGUUUCAAGCAGGCUUUUGCCGUGAAUAUGAUAGCAUGGAAUAAUAGCAUAGGACCCUUUCCAAAGCUGUUGGUUUUUGGAACGAGGUAAUCAGAAUAAGGAUAGUUGGGGGUAGUUCGUAUUUAACUGUCAGAGGUGAAAUUACUUGGAUUUUUUAAAGUAACGAACUAAUUGUCGAAGGAC
rnacentral:rRNA from 1 species